GAUGAAGAACGUAGUGAAAUGCGAUACGUAGUGUGAAUUGCAGAAUUCAGUGAAUCAUCGAAUCUUUGAACGCACAUUGCACCUCUCGGUAUUCCGGGAGGUAUGCCUGUUCGAGCGUCAUUUGUACCCUCAAGCUCUGCUUGGUGUUGGGUGUUUGUUCCGCCUCUGUGUGUGAACUCGCCUCAAAACAAUUGGCAGCCGGCGUACUUGUUUCGGAGCGCAGCACAUUUUGCGAUCCAGAUCAACGUACAGCGGCAUCCAAGAAGCCUUAUUUAACGCUCAUGACCUCGGAUCAGGUAGGGAUACCCGCUGAACUUAAGCAUAUCAAUAAGCGGAGGA
rnacentral:misc_RNA from 1 species